GUUACUCACUCCAUGGCUGCAGCAAGGAGAGGCGGCGGCGGCCUCGGCUGAAGAAAGACGGUCCUUAAUGCAAGUCGGUUAUGCCUGUAGGUUGAAAGGCAUCAGGGAGGAAAAUGGAACCAGAAUGCCAGGUGGCCUAAGGAGGAGAGAGAGGACAGUUGAAAACCCACAGGUAAUCCACCCACCUCGGCCUCCCAGAGUACUGGGAUUACAGGCGCGAGCCACCAUGCCUGGCCCACUCUGUUUUCUACUAAUGGGGUUGGCCAUACCCCAGGCAGGGUAGUUAUGUAAGAGAGCAGGACAGGGAAGCCCAGGCCACCGCCAGCUCCCGCCAGGCGACUGCAACAGUCUCCUCACUCCUCCCACACAGAGUCUCGGGCCUCCCUCUCUCCAUUUCCAGCUUUUAGAGCUGCUUCUGCCUUCCCUGGCUCCUGGCUUUCUCCCAUCUUCAGAUUCCAAAGUGCAUCACUCCAGUCUGCUCUUGUCACCACAAACUUUCUUCCCUUCU
rnacentral:sRNA from 1 species